rnacentral:rRNA from 1 species
CCUACGGGAGGCAGCAGUGAGGAAUAUUGGUCAAUGGGCGCGAGCCUGAACCAGCCAAGCAGCGUGAAGGAUGACGGCCCUACGAGUUGUAAACUUCUUUUAUAGAGGAAUAAAGUUACACACGUGUACCUUUUUGUAUGUACUGUAUGAAUAAGGAUCGGCUAACGCCGUGCCAGCAGCCGCGGUAAUACGGAGGAUCCGAGCGUUGUCCGGAUUUAUUGGGUUUAAAGGGAGCGUAGAUGGGUUGUUAAGUUAGUUGUGAAAUUUUGAGGCUCAACCGUCACAUUGCAUUUGAUACUGGCAAUCUAGAGUACAGUUGAGGUAGGCGGAAUUCGAGGUGUAGCGGUGAAAUGCGUAGAUAUCACGAAGAACACCGAUUGCGAAGGCAGCUUACUAA